UAUAUAUAAUUUUUUUUGCCAAUGAUUGUUGCUAGAAUUACAGUUGACGUGUGGUUGGUUUUAAUGCUUUAUUUCUUUUUCAUGUCUAUUUUUUGGUUUUACACCAAGAAAGUGUACUAACAAGUUUAAUUAUUUUAAGUCAAACAGUUAUGUUGGUGUAAAGAAGUUGUAUUGCAGCUUUUACAUAUUUUAAUGUUUAAUGAAGAUGACUUUGCUGCCUCGUUUACUCUGCAUAACUAUUUGUUAGUCAACUUACUAUGCUGUUAACAUAGGUGAUACCUCUAGUACCUCUUGUAUAAUUUAAAUGAAAUAUUGUAUUUACCUGAGUUCACAACAAACCAACUACCGUAUAUAGUCAUGGAAAAAUUUAUUAGACCACCCUUGUUCAGUUUCUUCAUUUUAAUGCCUGAUACAACUAAAGGUACCUUUGUUUGGACAAAUGGAACAAUGACAACAAAAAUAGCUCAUAAAUGUUACAUUUUUGGCAGUACAUUGCUAUAGCUAUUAAUGUAAGAACUUAAGUGAUUUUGGUUAUCAAGAAAAUCAUGGAAGUUGCUAGAUAUCGCCUCUUAAAUUAAACUCUUAUGAGCUGUAUUUUUUAAAGCAUAUUUGUCCAAAAAAAUGUCGUACCAGGCAUUAACAUGGAUCCUAAUGAUUUUUUCAUGACUGUAUUCUGCAUUAGAUAAUUACAAAAAAUACACAGGGCAAAAAAGCUGCAAGUGGCUGAAAAAUUUACGUCAUAUCCUUAUUGUGUUUAAUAAACACCAAGUAAAUUAUCCAAUUAUAUUACACAUUUGCAAAAAAGUGAGUUUUGUGGAUUCCGGGCCAGUAUGAACUUUUCUCCCACACUUGAACUCAGCAUUCAUGUAUUGUAGGACCUCAACCGUUAGUACAGAAUCACAAAAUCCAAUUUACCUUGAACCUAGCAUAAUCUUGACGCUCCCGCCACUAACUACAAUGAAUUUGAUGAAACUGCUUGUACUCGUACCGAUAUUGAGUUGAUUUUAAAGGCGCAACAAACUAAUGUUGCUGUUGUUACACUUGGAGAGACCAAAUAAUAGCGUUCGUUUUCCAUUCCUUUUCAUUUUUUUUAUUUUGAAAUAUCUUAGAACCGCUAAAGCUAAGGCUUGGCUAAACACAGCAUUUAGCAUUCAGAAUUAAAAUGUCGGAGGAUCAAGUUGUUGAAGAUGACGCUGCAUUUCAAGACGAGGAGGAGUCGUUUUUUCAAGACAUUGACCUCCUGCAGAAACAUGGCAUUAAUAUGGCGGAUAUCAAAAAGCUCAAGUCAGUGGGCAUCUGCACCGUUAAGGGAAUCCAGAUGACGACUCGCAGAGCUUUGUGCAAUGUUAAGGGGCUGUCCGAAGCAAAAGUAGAAAAGAUCAAGGAGGCUGCUGGAAAAAUGCUGAAUGUUGGCUUCCAGACUGCCUUUGAGUACAGCGCCAAGAGGAAGUUGGUUUUUCACAUAACGACCGGCAGUCAGGAGUUUGAUAAACUGCUGGGUGGAGGAAUAGAGAGUAUGGCCAUCACAGAGGCCUUUGGUGAGUUUCGUACAGGAAAAACACAGCUCUCCCACACACUCUGUGUCACCGCUCAGCUGCCAGGAGAAGAUGGCUACUCAGGUGGGAAGGUCAUCUUCAUGGACACAGAGAACACCUUUCGCCCAGACCGACUGAGAGACAUUGCAGACAGGUUUAAAGUGGACCAUGAUGCCGUCCUUGACAACGUGCUUUAUGCUCGGGCCUAUACUAGUGAACAUCAGAUGGAACUGUUGGACUUUGUAGCAGCCAAAUUCCAUGAAGAAGGAGGGGUCUUUAAGCUUUUGAUCAUUGACUCCAUCAUGGCUCUCUUUAGAGUGGACUUCUCGGGCCGAGGGGAGUUGGCUGAGAGGCAGCAGAAGCUGGCCCAGAUGCUCUCCAGACUGCAGAAGAUCUCUGAAGAGUACAAUGUUGCUGUGUUCAUGACCAACCAAAUGACAGCUGAUCCUGGUGCAGGAAUGACUUAUCCCCCAUGUCAGAUUCCAAGCUGAUCCCAAGAAGCCGAUUGGCGGUCAUAUCCUGGCCCAUGCCUCCACCACACGGUUAAGCUUGAGGAAAGGACGUGGAGAGAUGAGAAUUGCCAAAAUAUUUGACAGUCCUGAUAUGCCGGAGAACGAGGCCACUUUUGCCAUCACUGCUGGAGGAAUUGCUGAUGCUAAAGAGUGAUGGCUAGAGAGCCGAGUUAUACAUUCUCAGCACAGUUAGCUGUUCCACUUCGACUGAUUUAAGGCUAAAAAUUGAUUUGGUUUUCAUACAUUUGCAAGAGUAGCCAAGUUAUGUUUUUAGCACAGUUUGCUGCCUUUAAUUUAGGGCAUUUUAUACUAUUUAUUCAUCCGAUUGACAUACAUGUGUAUGAGUAUUGAAGGUGAGCUUUUCAAAGUAGUGUUCAAAAUAUUUAUUCCAUGCGUCGUCAUAUCGUUUGUCAAUCAUAUGAUACAAUAAAGUACCGAUAAUUUGCUUUAUUGUAUUUAAGGUGAGCAUC